rfam:Salmo salar isolate Sally breed double haploid chromosome ssa15, whole genome shotgun sequence.
CCCCGUGUGGCUCAGUUGGUAGAGCAUGGUGUUUGCAACGCCAGGGUUGUGGGUUCGAUUCCCAUGGGGG